CUGUAUUUACACUACACGCGACGAAGCCUCCGGCAUGAAAAUAAAUAAUGAGGGGCAAUUUUUGUUUAGGGGAGGAAUCAUCAUCAUCAAACGCUUUCCGCGGAACGAAUAUUCGAGCCCAGGUGCCCUUCGAUUGGUUUAUGUCCAAGUCCUUUGAAAGAUGAAAAGGGCUGCUAGGAUCGGACGAGGCAGGUGUGCUCGGUGGUUGAAACAGGCGUGUGAUUGAGCCAUCGGGAUUUUUUGCCAAUCCCAUGUAGCCAUAGGGGUUUUCAUUAGGAUCAACUGGCUGCUGAACUUGAUCUGACAUGAUGGUUUUCUUGGACAGAUGUUUUGUGGGUAGGAAAGGAUAGAAGGUAUAUUUGUAGAGGCAGCAGAGUCUUGAUAGUUUUCUCUCUGGCUGCGUUGGCUGAUAGGAUUUGUAGUUUAGACGAUUAGUAUACGUGUUUGCCUCACACUCUCAAUACACAAGAACGCCGUUCUAUCCUAUGUUUUUCGAACCGGACCGGAUAGCGACUCGACCGAGGCCAGGGGUCAGGGGUCAAUGGGUUCGACCGGGGGUCGAUAGGGAUCAAACCGGAUGACGUCAUAAAUAAAAAUUAUUUAAAAAUUAAAAUAUUAUAUAUAUAAUAUUUAAUAAUAUGUUGAUAUUAAUAAAGGUAUAUUCAUAUAUAUUUGAUGUUUCAAAUAUAUUUAAUAUGAAAAUACAAAGAAAUUAGAACAAUCAAGUAGCAAUUUAUAUUAUUUAAUAAAUAUUAAUAAGUUUAGAAUUAAAAGUAUGAAUUAAAUUGAAAAAUAACAUCAAAUUUUAGGAUAAUAUUUAUAAAAUAUCAAAUAUUUGAGGUAUAUCAAUAAGUUUUAAUAAUUUAGGGGGUCAAAACAUAAUAUUAAAAAGUUUGAAUUUUUUUUUAAAAAAACACUGUUGAACCGGAAAAUCGGUUUUUUCCGGUCAAACCCGGUCAAAAUCGGUUUUUGACCGACUUUGACCGAGUUUUAAAUUCCCGGUUUUUUAGUAUGGCUCGGGCCGACUAUCUGACCGAUUUUCGAUUCGACCGGUCGGUCCGGUCCGAAUUUCAAAACAGAGGUUCUAUCUGCUAAUUUGUUGUACAACAUGUAGCAAUUGAUUGAACUUUGAAGAUCAGUCAAUAAGUGCUAAGUACCAACAACUCCUUUGUUUUUUUAUUAUUUUUUUAUUUGACCGAGGAGUGGAAUAAUAGUUUUCAUUUUUCAAACUUCCCGGGAAGAUUAAAAUAUUGACCACUUCUUCAACUUGACACGAGAGACCGUCAAAUUUGGCGAUUGAAUUUCGAUUAUUAUUAAUGAGACCGAGGAGGGUUCUUAAUAGGACUGCAAACGAAUCGAGCCGCUCGAGUCAAGCUCGAGUCGAGCUCGAUAUUAAUCGAGCUCGAGCCGGCUCGAAUCAAACUCGAGCUCGAACUCGAGUUCAGAAUAUUAAACUCGUUAGUAUAUAUAUAUAUAUAUUUUUUAUUUAAUAAUAAAAUUAUGUAUAUUAUAUAUAUUUUUUAUUUUUUAUUUUCAUAGUAAAAUUACGUAUAUAUCCUUAAUAUUUUAUUAUUUAUUAAGAAAAAAUAUUAUUUUAUUUAUUUUUUAAAAAUAAAAUAAUUAUUUUUUUUUUCGAGCUCGAGCUCGAAAAUUGCUGGCUCAUCCAGCUCGAGCUCGAGUUUGGUAAAAUUUAGUCAAGAUUCGACUCGAUUAACUCAAAACUCGACUCGACUCGUUUGCAGCUCUAGUUCUUAAGAAGCCCAAAAGUUGAAAAAGAAGUAAAAUCUGGGAGGGUUCCAACUUAUAAGUUGAAGGUGGUUUGGAACGUCCCCGGGUAGCACAGAAGGAGAUUUUGGGAGCAGAUAUUUUGGGAGUUGUUACCCCUAGGGGUGAUUUCUUCUUAAGGGGGUUUGUCAUUUCUUAUCUCUACAAUAACAAAGUUUGUGUAGGCAUUAACUUUGUUUAUUUUCAAAUUUAUUUUUAUCUCUAUUAUUUUUCUAAUGAUUAGCUUCUCCAUUAAUCAUUAUUUCUAUUAUCAACUGAAACACAAAUUUUAUCCAAUCAAAAUUACCUCCCUUCAAUUCUCACAUUCUCCCUUACUAAUGCGUUUUUUACUUCCAAUUGUACAUAUUUCUGUAUAAUACACUUUUUAUCACAUAUUACAUAAAAUAGUUACGCUCAUUUGCACUAUUUUUGUAAUUCUUUCAAUUUAAAAUAUUUUUUGACAAAUUGCACACGCAUUAAGUGUGCCUCGAUAACUAGUAGUAACUAAUAAUGAUGAAUAAAGGGAUACUUUAUUAGUUUGACAAUUUUUUGGACGAUUUUCUCUAUCUUCCAAACAUCCAAGUAAACUGGCACAACAAUUUGAGUUCAAUUUUUAUUACAAACUCCACCCAAAAUAUUCUUGUUUAUUGGUACAUCAGGUAAAAUGCGGUGAAGUUGACCUCUAUUGUUGCAUAAUUAUAUUUCAGUUGUAUAAAAUUGAAAAGACAAGAUGAAAAAUAUAGGACAUGUAUAUUAUUAUUGACAUAGAAAAUCAUUCAACAGAUAUAUUACUUUUCAUUUAGAUGUGAUUAGACUUUACUUUUUCCACUCAACAUGCCAGUAGAUGCACCUCUACUUUCCAUAAAGUUGCAACCUCCCUGUUCUAGUACAGAUGAAAUGUAGAAAAUGGAACUUUACAAAAGGAAAAAACAGCUAAGGAACGAAAAGAUGGGAAAAAAUUUAGGUAACAUGAAAGGCAAUACUAGUAAGUUUUUUUUUUUUCGAUAAGUGCAAAGUUCUGAAUUCAAGGACCUCUUACUUAUUAUUCUUUUUCACUUUAUCAGCCAACCCAAUUCUCAAUGAAUACUAGCAGUAUAAGUUUUGUACUCCGUAUAACUGAUACAACUAUCACCCUGUUACACUACCAUGCAAAUCCAAGACCUUAAUUGUAUUAUUAUCUCUUUGAAAACAGAAGGGCACAGACAAUUUUAUCACUCAUGUAACUAGAUGACAAUUUUGGGACAAGAAAAGUCCAAAUAUUACUACAUCAAAAGUCCAGUUCACUCGAUAUAAUCAAAAGUAGUCCAUACUGCACACAAAUGAAAUUAGCUAGUAAGCCACCAAACAGAAAAGCUAGUUCUACCAUACCAGCGCACUAGCUUUGCUUAGCUGAACUUUUUGGCUUUUGACCUGUUGUAAGAUCAAAAUAGCUUCCCAAAGCACAUACUUUUUCAAGAAGUGGUGGUAGAUUCAACAAGGUCUUUAAUAACAAUGGCUAGUUCUUUAGCCUUUGUGGGAUCUCCAAGCUCAUACCCAUGACAUCCUCCCUCAGCAAACUUGCCUGUCACCGAUACACCUUUCUCUUCUAAUUUCUUCCAAAGCUCAAUCUGCCGAUCUAUCAACAGAUCACCGUCAAAGCCAGUGACCAAAAUCUUCCACCCCAGAGAUUUGACCUGAUCAAAUUGGUCUGGCUUAAUCUUCGCCAUUGGGUUGCAAUACUCAUGAUCGCGGUCAACGCCGAUUGGCAAGCUCAGAUCCCACAUCAGAUCAGUUAACGUCAACGGUACAACCCUGUCGUUGGCGAGCCUCAACUCUGACUCAGUCCUCUCGAUCCCACCAAAGAAUGGCUGAUGCAAUAUCAACCCUUUGAUCUGCAGAGGCAGGAGAUCGUCAACACAUGCAGCUACUUGGAGGCCAACAUGAUAAGCAAUGUUACCACCAGCACUACUGCCCAUCAAGAAAGCCUUAGAAAAAUCAGCAUGUUUUUCCAACCAUUCGUCGUUGGAGUUUUUGAUGAUCCAAUGCAAGGCUUCGAAGCAAUCUUCAUAAGCUGCAGGAAGUCGGUGCUCCGGAGCAAGACGGUACUCGACGGAGACAACUACAGCCGGAAUUUCAGUAACGAUUGGAGUGUACAAAGCAUCAAAUAUGGCUGUAUUUACAGUACACGCGACGAAGCCUCCAGCAUGAAAAUAGAUAAUGAGGGGCAAUUUUUGUUUAGGGGAGGAAUCAUCAUCAUCAAACGCUUUCCGAGGAACGAAUAUUCGAGCCCAGGUGCCCUUCGAUUGGUUUAUGUCCAAGUCCUUUGAAAGAUGAAAAGGGUUGCUGGGAUCGGACGAGGCAGGUGUGCUCGGUGGUUGAAACAGGCGUGUGAUUGAGCCAUCGGGAUUUUUUGCUAUUCCCAGGUAGCCAUAGGGGUUUUCAUUAGGAUCAACUGGCUGCUGAACUUGAUCUGACAUGAUGGUUUUCUUGGACAGAUGUUUUGUAGAUAGUAGAAAGC
rnacentral:lncRNA from 1 species